UACGGUUGCAAAGCUGAAACUUAAAGGAAUUGACGGAAGGGCACCACCAGGAGUGGAGCCUGUGGCUUAAUUUGACUCAACACGGGAAACCUCACCCGGUCCGGACACUGGAAGGAUUGACAGACUAAAGCUCUUUCUUGAUUCAGUGGGUGGUGGUGCAUGGCCGUUCUUAGUUGGUGGAGUGAUUUGUCUGGUUAAUUCCGAUAACGAACGAGACUCUCGCCUGCUAAAUAGUUUUCCAUACGUUACUUUAUGGAACCUAAAACUUCUUAGAGGUACAAGUGGCGUUUAGCCACACGAAACAGAGCAAUAACAGGUCUGUGAUGCCCUUAGAUGUCCGGGGCCGCACAUGUGCUACAAUGAAUGCAUCAACGUGUAUCAGCCUCGCCCGAAAGGGUUGGGGAAUCCGCUGAACGGCAUUCUCAGUAGGGAUUGGGGAUUGCAAUUAUUUCCCAUGAACACGGAAUUCCCAGUAGGCGCCAGUCAUCAGCUGGCGUCGAUUGAGUCCCUGCCCUUUGUACACACCGCCCGUCGCUACUACCGAUCGCUCUUGUUAAUGANCUUGUCGGAUUGGACCCGGUGAGCAGUCNNNNNNNNNNAAUAGAYACGAUAGGUGGAUGUCCGCGAGGGUUGCUUCUCGGUAGAAAGAUACAUACAAAAAGUAAAAGAGAAGCCGCCGAGUGGCGAGUUGUUGAAAGUAGCCCAGCGAAACAACGGAACAAACCCUCGGAAUAAGAAAGAAAAAGACGUGCUGUACGAAAAAGUGCAACG
rnacentral:rRNA from 1 species